rnacentral:misc_RNA from 1 species
GAAAUGCGAUAAGUAAUGCGAAUUGCAGAAUCCGUGAAUCAUUGAAUCUUUGAACGCACAUUGCGCCUCCUGGUAUUCCGGGAGGCACGCCUGUUCGAGCGCCAUUUCAACCUCCAAGCCUGGCUUGAUGUUGGACGAUGUUUAGUAUAAACAGGUCCGAAACGCGUCGGCGUCCGGCGACGACCGCGAGCGUAGCACGAAAAUACGUUUUCAUUCGCUCUGCGGAUCGUUCUCCGGUUCCGCCUUGUUUUGUCUUUUACCAAAGGUUGGCCUCGGAUCAGGUGGGGAUACCCGCUGAACUUAAGC